ensembl:snRNA U6 U6 spliceosomal RNA
GUUUGCUUUGGUAGCAUAUAUAUUAGAAAAUUUAAAUAAUACUGAGAAGAUUAGCAUGGCCCUGGCCCAAGGAUAACACACAAAUUUAUGAAGCCUUCCAUAUUUUC